UGGACCUGGGGGUGGGUAAGCCAGGCUUCUGGGAGGGUAAGCGAUGUUCUGUUUCUGGGUUAAACUUAGACACACGGGAAGGUGAAACACCCCCACCACCCCCAAUGAGUCAAUGUCCUGUAUCAUCACCUCCCCAUGAGUGUGGGCGGGGCCUGCAAUGUGCUUCUAACCAGUAGAAUUUGGUAAAAGGACUGUGAUGUCAUCCCUUUGGGUAGCAUUGUAUGUAAAGGGAGUUAGAUGUCACGCCCAUCACUCCCAGGACCCCAUGACAACUGGAGACAGACUCUCCCGCUGGCCUCUCAGGAGCAAACAGCCCCAGAGAGGGACGCUUGGCAGGGGACCAUGGAGCUUCUUGGACCUGAGGGCAGCAAGCAGCCCAGAAGAAGCUGGGCCAGCACCUCAAUCGUGGCCACGUGGGACCCUGAGCAGAGGACCAGCUGAGCCGUAUACCCGGACUCCUGCCCCACAGACACCGAGGUUGGAAAUGUGUGGGCAGUGGCAGAGGAUGAGCCGUGUGCAGCCUGCGACGAUGCAAUCAUCGGGCUUCCGGCGUCAUCAUCAACCGAGGAAGCUGGAGCCCUGGGUCAAGCCACACUGAAAUUCCAUCUGCACCCAGAUCCCAGCUCAGAUGAACUUAGACUCCAUGAGAUGCAAUCAGCAAAAGUGGGAAACAGACUCUGGGAAGCUUUAAUGAACAAGUGACCUCGUUUUAAAAAAUAAAUCGAAAGGGGGAAAAAAGGAGGUGGAGGGAAAACAUGGACUAAAAGAGAUUAAGAGAAUCCUCACUCGUUGUUGGGAACAUCAAAUUCUGCAGUCACUUGGGAAAACGGUCUGGUGUAAUUUCUUUAAAAGUUAAGUAUACAUUCGGCGUGUAACCCAGCAAUUCCACCCCUAUAAAUCUACUGGAGAGAAAUGGAAACACAUGUCAACAAGUAGUGCAUAAAAGUUUAUAGCAGAAGUUUUGCUAAAACCCAAACUGG